UGGGAUACAAGGUGGCUCUCUCC
rnacentral:piRNA from 1 species